rnacentral:rRNA from 1 species
AGAGUUUGAUCCUGGCUCAGGACGAACGCUGGCGGCGUGCCUAAUACAUGCAAGUCGAGCGGAGUUAUUCCUUCGGGGAUAGCUUAGCGGCGGACGGGUGAGUAACACGUAGGCAACCUGCCUGUAAGAUCGGGAUAACUACCGGAAACGGUAGCUAAGACCGAAUAAUCAGCUUGGUCGCAUGACCGAGCUGGGAAAAGCGGAGUAAUCUGCUACUUACAGAUGGGCCUGCGGCGCAUUAGCUAGUUGGUGGGGUAACGGCUCACCAAGGCGACGAUGCGUAGCCGACCUGAGAGGGUGAACGGCCACACUGGGACUGAGACACGGCCCAGACUCCUACGGGAGGCAGCAGUAGGGAAUCUUCCGCAAUGGACGCAAGUCUGACGGAGCAACGCCGCGUGAGUGAUGAAGGUUUUCGGAUCGUAAAGCUCUGUUGCCAGGGAAGAACGCUUAGGAGAGUAACUGCUCUUAAGGUGACGGUACCUGAGAAGAAAGCCCGGCUAACUACGUGCCAGCAGCCGCGGUA